ensembl:lincRNA
AGGUGUUGGGAUUGACAUCGGACUAUAUUUUCCUUAAUUUUCCAGGCUGGCCAGAGGCCGAUAGUGGGAAGACGGGUAUGUAUGAAGAUUGAACCCUCUCCUGUACUCUUGUUCCCUAACUUUCCUGGAUUUUCUGAGGAAGACAGUGGGAAGACCAGUAUUGAUGGGAUGAUGGAUUGGGGGUUGGAUGCUGUCUCCUGUGUUUCUUUUCCCUCAUUUUCCAGGAUGUCCAGAGAAGUCAGUGGGAACACCAGUGUGGAUGAAGCGUUGGGAUGGAGGUUGACACUCUGUCCUGUGUUCAUUUCUGUAGUUUUCCAGAAUGUCCCGAGGCCGACAGUGGGAAGAUGGUAUGUAUGAGGAGUUGGGAUAGAGGUUAGCUGCUCUGUUUUUUUUCCCUUCUUUACCAGGAGAAGUGCAGAGGCUGACAUUGUGGAAGACAUGUACAUAUGAAGAUUGAACCCUGUCCCGAGUUCUUUUCCCUAAUUUUCCGGGAUGUUCACAAGCAGACAGUCGAGAGGCAGGUGUGGUGUUGGGACUGAUGCUGAACUCUCUCUGCUGUAUAAUUUUCCAGCUGACCAGAGGCGGCCAGUGGGAAGACGGGUGUUGUUGGGAUAGAGGUUAGAUGUUCACUCCUUUUAAUCUUUUCCUUCACUUUCUAGGAUGUCCAGAAAAUUAAAACCCUCUCCCGUCUCUAUUUUCCGGGUUGGCCAGAGACUACCAGUUGGAAGAUGGGUAUGGCUGGGAGUUGGGAUGGAGUGAAGAAACCUUUACUUGUUCCUUUGUGGCCUACACAUCCUGAUGUAUCUCCCUACUUGAGCUGUUGUAAGACAUGGACUGCUGUACUGAACUGUCACUUGUACAAUGUUGUAACAGUCACCUUCUGUCCUGUAUCUCAGUGUCACACUCAGAUUUCUGAAACUGUCCCCUGUACUCUAGGGUGUAAUACUCAGACCUAUGUACUGUGCUGUUAUGUGAACUGUCACCUGGAGUGUUGUACUAAACUGUCAUUGUACAAUGUUGUAAUACUCAGCCCUCUGUACUGUAUUUCAGUGUAAGACUCAGCCUUGUCCUACUUUGACACCUGUACUCUAUUGUAAUAUUCAGACUUAAGUACUGUUUUGAACUGUCCCCUGGGUUGUUGUAUUACUCAGACCUGCGGCCUGUGUUCUGAACUGUUAUCUGUAUUAUGUUGUAAUACUGAGAGCUGUGUACCUUAUGGUGUUGUAACUGAUAGACUGCUGUUCUGAACUGUCCCUUGUACACUGUUGUAACAAUCACCCUCUGUACUGUAUUGCAGUGUAACAUAUAUUUCUGUCCCAAAAUGUCACCUUUACUUGAUUGUAAUACUCAGCCAUGUGUACGGUCUUCUAACUGUUUUCUCUAUUGUAAUAUUGAGAGUUGUGUGUUGUAAUAGAUGGUCUGCUGUACUAAACUGGCACUUUGUUGUAGUGGUGGUGUUGUAUUUCAGUAUAAGAGAUGGUUUGUAGACAAUUUAAAAAUAUCUGUACUUGCUUGUAGUACUCAACCGUGUGUACUGUACUCCACUGUGCUCUGUUACUAAUAUUGUUGUAAUACAGGCUGGGGCCAGAGUAUUAUGCUCAGUUUUUGUCUAAAACAAUUACCUUUACUGUAAUAUUCAGAUUUGUGUACUGUGAUAUGAAUUUCUAUUAUGCUGUUGUAAUACAGUCCAGGGUCCUGUGCUGCAGACUUCUGUCCCAUAGUGUCAAUUGUACAUGAGGGUGGUAGUCAAACAUGUGUAAUGUACUGUGCUCAGUAGUAGUGUUGUAAUACCCUCAGCUGGGUACAGGAGUGUGAAAUAUCACCUUGAUUCUGUUGUAAUAUGUAGACAUGUCCUCAACUGUCACUAGUAUGAUAUUGUAACACUCAGUUGUGCACCUGUAGGGCUGACCUGUUCUGUUAAGUAAUCGGGCAGACCUCUGUUUUAAACUCUGCCCAGUAUUAUCAACCUGCCCUUUGGACAAACUGGCCUACUGCAAUUUCACCUCUUUCUAGGUGUGGACUUGUUUUGGGGUGGAGCUUAUUCCUCUUUUACUCACGGUGAGGCUUCAGUGUGAGUCUUCCCCCAUCCUGUUAAUAAUGAAAGCAAGUGUGCUAGAGUUGUUCAAAGGGGGGGAGAAUGAGACUGGGCAGGGCCACCCCUGAGAGGUGGGGUAUGGAAAAUGAAGUCAGGUGAGUGGUGUGUUUUAGAGAGAGAGGAGAGGGGAAAAACAUGUUUGUGACUGUGGGGUUUGGGUCUUGUAGCUUGGGUAGGAGGGGGAAGACUUGUGUGGAAGGGUUGGCGUUUUUAGGUAUAACUCCCUUUCUUUUCCAGUUCUAGCCCCUCUGGUUUUGGGUUUUUUUUUUGUGUGGGGUUUCCCUUCCCACUGGGAAUGUGAACAUCUCCAGCGUCCUAGUUCUGUCCUGUGGUCAUCAUGAGGUUAACUUGUUUCAAUGGGGAAGUCCAAUCUCUUGGGGGUUCUUUGGUGUUGAGAUGGUGGAGGGGGGGACCCUAGAUGUGUUUUUAAGGUUGUAACGCUCCCUGAUUUAACUGCUCUGAACUGUGACAUGGUUAUUGUAGAUGCGUGUGACUCUAGGCUGGAGUUGUGCACCAGGACAGAGCUCUGUGGGGUGUCUGUUUGCCGGUAGAAGGAAUAUGUCUCCUGGUGGAAAUGUAGCCUGUGUGCAAACAAACCACCCCUCCGUCGGAAAGGUGAGAGCUGAUGGAGCUGUGAGUGAAUAUUAAUCCACAUGCUGCCUCUGGGCACGAGUGCUUAAGGUUGAGCAGGAGCUCUUACGUGUACAAAAGGGAGAGAGCGGGUUACUAUUCCACAGAAUCAACCAGUCUGCUUUCUUUUCAAUGUAAUACCCCACCUUGCUCUUCGUUCCCUGGUGCAGUCAUCUGCUCCAGACUGGACUUGUCUUACACUGAGCGAUACAGGUUGGACAGUGUUAGUGUGUGGAAGAUGGGCCAAGGGAGGGGUACAGUCCCCACCCUCUGUUACUCUCCCACUGGGACUAUCCUGCUGCAGGACUUUAUGAACUACAUUACCCAGCAGGCCAUGAGGAUGAUGGUGGCCAACAGGCUGCCUCCCCUAGGUUGAUAAGGGGUGGGUGCUGUCAAUCCACACCUGCAGCCACUCUGAGUUCCUGCAGAGGACGGGAGCCUGGAGGUACAAGUUCAUACAUUCUGUGUGGGUUUGUUGGUGGGAAGGAAAUGUUUUAAGUGCAGCAAAGCUGCAAGAGGGUCCGAGAAAGGAAUAUUUAUAUUUAUCAACACGCUGGGUUAUUUUUAACAAAACUGGAAGCUGUUCCAAGA